GUCUUUUUGAAUUUAAUUUAAAGUCUAAUCUGCCCACUGAUAAUAAAAUUAAAGGGCUGCAGUAUAUUGACUGUACAAAGGUAGCAUAAUAAUUAGUCUUUUAAUUGAAGACUUGUAUGAAAGAUUUGAUGAGAUAUAAACUGUCUCUUUUUUAUAAUUAGAAUUUAAUUUUUCAGUAAAAAAGCUGAAAUUAGUUUAAAAGACGAGAAGACCCUAUAGAGUUUUAUAAUUAAUUUAAUUACAUAUUUAUAUUUAAUUUUAAAGUUAAUUAAUUUAAUUAUUUUAUUGGGGUGAUAGAAAAAUUAAACUAACUUUUUUUAAAUAUUAAACAUUGAUUGAUGGUUAUAUGAUCCAUAAUUUAUGAUUAUAAGAAAAAAUUACCUUAGGGAUAACAGCGUAAUUUUUUUUUUUAGUUCUUAUAAGAAAAAAAGUUUGCGACCUCGAUGUUGGAUUAAGAUAAAAUUUAAAUGUAGAAGUUUAAAAUUUUGAUCUGUUCGAUCAUUAAAAUCUUACA
rnacentral:rRNA from 1 species